rnacentral:rRNA from 1 species
AUUGAACGCUGGCGGCAGGCCUAACACAUGCAAGUCGAGCGGAUGAGUGGAGCUUGCUCUAUGAUUCAGCGGCGGACGGGUGAGUAAUGCCUAGGAAUCUGCCUAUUAGUGGGGGACAACGUUUCGAAAGGAACGCUAAUACCGCAUACGUCCUACGGGAGAAAGCAGGGGACCUUCGGGCCUUGCGCUAAUAGAUGAGC